rnacentral:sRNA from 1 species
UAGUUGUGGUCUAAAGUUGCCUGUAUUC